rnacentral:rRNA from 1 species
AGUGAACGCUGGCGGCAGGCCUAACACAUGCAAGUCGAACGGCAGCGGGUCCUUCGGGAUGCCGGCGAGUGGCGGACGGGUGAGGAAUACAUGGGAAUCUGCCCAGUCGUGGGGGAUAACGUAGGGAAACUUACGCUAAUACCGCAUGCGACCUUAGGGUGAAAGCGGCGGACCGCAAGGCGUCGCGCGAUUGGAUGAGCCCAUGUCGGAUUAGCUAGUUGGCGGGGUAAAGGCCCACCAAGGCGACGAUCCGUAGCUGGUCUGAGAGCUUGAUCAGCCCCACUGGAACUGAUACGCAGUCCAGACUACUUCUGGUGUAAGCAGUGGGGAAUAUUGAACUAUGGGCGCAAGCCUGAUCCAGCCAUGCGGGGUGAGUGAAGAAGGCCUUCGGGUUGUAAAGCUCUUUGUCCGGAAAGAAAAGCUCUCGGUUAAUACCCGGGGGUUCUGACGGUACCGGAAGAAUAAGCACCGGCUAACUUCGUGCCAGCAGCCGCCGUAAAAC